ensembl:lncRNA
CUUUUAUUUCUUUUGAUAACUCUGUAUGGGAUUGGUAGAUAUUUACUCAAGGUGAUGGGGGGAGGGUAAAAUCGGAAAAGGAGAGAGAGAAGCCACAAUCCACACAGAGCAUUUUGAGGCAGGAGAAAAAGAUGUCCUUCCAAUGUUUAGUUAUCUCCCAUCUGAACAAGUGUGUACAUCUUCUGUUUCCUAGGGUGGCCUAUGGCAGGUUGAAUCCUGAUGGCAUCUGGACCAGGAAGAGGUCAAGGAGGCUCCCGAUGGCCCCACAGGGCAUCUAUAGCUCCAUGCCAGAAGCCCAGCCGGUGGAAGCUAACAGCCCCAAAGCCCUGCCUGUGUUAGGGGAGCUAUCGAACACGGAUAAUGACAUAAACGAGUCGGUGUUCAUCUGGGGAAUCUCAGACAAAGCAGCCCAGAGGAAAACCAUCUCUGUCGAUGAAGGUUUGUUUCAUUUGCAACAGGAAAAGCAGCAGCAACAGCAGCAGCAGCAGCAGCGACUGGAGCCCGUGCACAGGCUGGGAAGAGGUAAAAGGAGGCUGAGGCUGCCGCAUGUGAGUAGCAUUUUAUGAUUUAUUUGCAGCUGGGAAAGGAAUGCUGGGGAGGGGGCUCAGCUGUGAGGUGGGCAUAUGUGUGUGGGUUGAGGCUGGGAGCAAUUAACAAG